rnacentral:rRNA from 1 species
UACAGAGGGGGCAAGCGUUGUUCGGAAUUACUGGGCGUAAAGGGCGCGUAGGCGGCCCGUUAAGUCGAACGUGAAAUCCCCGGGCUCAACCCGGGAACUGCGUCCGAUACUGGCAGGCUUGAAUCCGGGAGAGGGAUGUGGAAUUCCAGGUGUAGCGGUGAAAUGCGUAGAUAUCGGGAGGAACACCAGUGGCGAAGGCGACUACCUGGCCUGUUCUUGACGCUGAGGCGCGAAAGCUAGGGGAGCAAACGGG